rnacentral:rRNA from 2 species
ACGGAAGGCAGCAGUGGGGAAUAUUGCACAAUGGGCGAAAGCCUGAUGCAGCGACGCCGCGUGAGUGAGGAAGUAUCUCGGUAUGUAAAGCUCUAUCAGCAGGGAAGAAAAUGACGGUACCUGACUAAGAAGCCCCGGCUAACUACGUGCCAGCAGCCGCGGUAAUACGUAGGGGGCAAGCGUUAUCCGGAUUUACUGGGUGUAAAGGGAGCGUAGACGGUUUGGCAAGUCUGAAGUGAAAUGCGGGGGCUCAACUCCUGAACUGCUUUGGAAACUGUCGAACUAGAGUGCAGGAGAGGUAAGUGGAAUUCCUAGUGUAGCGGUGAAAUGCGUAGAUAUUAGGAGGAACACCAGUGGCGAAGGCGGCUUACUGGACUGUAACUGACGUUGAGGCUCGAAAGCGUGGGGAGCAAACAGGAUUAGAUACCCUGGUA